GGAAACGUCACCGGCAUGGGAUGGGACCCUAGGUGGGGACUCACGUCUCUCUUCUCCUUCACCUGGUGACCUUUGCUCCUCUCCAGAGAGACACAGAGGAAACAUAACUGCAUGUCACUAGGUGAAAGAAGGCAACGUGAAGGAUCCCACCCGCGUGACCUUCUGGAAAGGGUCACACUACAGACACAGUCAAAGGAAAACCAGUGGUUGCCACGGGGCAGAGGGGAGGCAGGGAGGGAUGAGUAGGGAGAGCACAGAGGGUCUUUAGGGCAGUGAAACUGUAUGAGGCUGUACGAUGGGUGCGUGCCAUCACACGUUUGUCCAAACCCACGGAGUCCACACCACCAAGAGGGAGCCUAAUAUAAACUGUGGACGUCAGUUAGGAAUAAUGAAGUAAUGCUCAUCCAUUCAUUGGAACAAAUGUGCCCCAUGCACUGGAGAUGCUCAAAGAAGGGGAACUGUGUGGGGGGAGGGGUAUAGGAGAACUCUAAAUCUGUACCAUCUGUUCAAUUGUUCUGGAAACCAAAGACUAUCCUAAAAAAUAA